AUAGCCACGGCUAAUUCUGUGCCAGCAGCCGCGGUAAUACGGGAGUGGCAAGCGUUAUCCGGAAUUAUUGGGCGUAAAGCGUCGCAGGCGGCCUUUCAAGUCUGCUGUUAAAACGUGGAGCUUAACUCCAUCAUGGCAGUGGAAACUGAAAGGCUUGAGUAUGGUAGGGGCAGAGGGAAUUCCCGGUGUAGCGGUGAAAUGCGUAGAUAUCGGGAAGAACACCAGUGGCGAAGGCGCUCUGCUGGGCCAUUACUGACGCUCAUGGACGAAAGCCAGGGGAGCGAAAGGGAUUAGAUACCCCUGUAGUCCUGGCCGUAAACGAUGAACACUAGGUGUCGGGGGAAUCGACCCCUUCGGUGUCGUAGCUAACGCGUUAAGUGUUCCGCCUGGGGAGUACGCACGCAAGUGUGAAACUCAAAGGAAUUGACGGGGGCCCGCACAAGCGGUGGAGUAUGUGGUUUAAUUCGAUGCAACGCGAAGAACCUUACCAGGGUUUGACAUCCUGCGAACCUCUUAGAAAUUUGAGGGUGCCUUCGGGAAUGCAGUGACAGGUGGUGCAUGGCUGUCGUCAGCUCGUGUCGUGAGAUGUUGGGUUAAAUCCCGCAACGAGCGCAACCCACGUUUUUAGUUGCCAGCAUUUAGUUGGGCACUCUAGAAAGACCGCCGGUGAUAAACCGGAGGAAGGUGUGGAUGACGUCAAGUCAUCAUGCCCCUUACACCCUGGGCUACACACGUACUACAAUGCUACGGACAAAGGGCAGCAAACUCGCGAGAGCUAGCAAAUCCCAUAAACCGUGGCUCAGUUCAGAUCGUAGGCUGCAACUCGCCUACGUGAAGUAGGAAUCGCUAGUAAUCGCAGGUCAGCAUACUGCGGUGAAUACGUUCCCGGGCCUUGUACACACCGCCCGUCACACCAUGGAAGUUGGCCAUGCCCGAAGUCGUUACUCCAACCCUUGUGGAGG
rnacentral:rRNA from 1 species